UCAGACAUCAAUAGCAGGGAAGCUGCUCUCAGACGGAGGGUUCGGUCCGAUCACCACUCAGAUCUGUUCCGGUCAGACGUUCUACUACGCUGAGGAUCACCACCAGCAGUACCUCAGCAAAGACCCUGAAGGUUACUGCGGCCUGGGAGGGACAGGAG